GGGGAGAAGAUGGAGGCUGGUACCUGGAGGAUAAGAUACGUGGGGACCGCCGAUUGUUGCUGGAGACAGCGGAGAUGACGGCGCAGGUUUGUUCUGGAAAAGGAAUAAACAGUCACAGAUGGGGAGAUAUCUCAUGAACAUCUAAGGCCUGAUCAGAAAAUCAGAAAGCUGCGACAAAGAAAGACUCCAGAGAACGUGUCUCCUCCAUGCAUUAUACAGAUGGCCAACAGAUUUCAGCAUACACUAUAUAAGUUUCCAUGUCUGCAGUCCACCCCGGUGUGAAGAAGAUGAAGUGUUUUUCUCUGCGUUAUGUGAUACUAGCUGAGGUCACCCGUAAUGUGCCCACAUAAUGGUACACACCUGGUAAAAUAAAACAUACAGG